UUUAUCAAUAUCUGGUUGCAUCCCCUCUCUCCCCAUUGUCUCUACCCACUGCUUUAAGCUUUGUUUAUGAUAAAGAUAUUAUGUAGAACACAUGACACGUUAUUGUUCUCCUUUCUGCUUAAAGUUUUCCGGUAGCCAAAAUAAUUUUAGAGAGACAGAGAUCAGCGCCCUCUUCUACAACGGUUCUCAGGCGGAUGAUGAUGAUGCAAGAGCUUGCCACCGUCGGUCAGUCAUCACAGAACCUCAGAAAACACCCCCCUUUAAAACCCUAAAUCACUCUCUUCUCUCUACGACUGCAAAUCCAUUUGCAAAUCUGAUUAACAUGAAGCAUAAGCGGAACAAUAGCAACAGAGAAAGGGUCAUUAACUUGAAUUCUGGCGUGAUUAUUAUCAAGGAUUUGGUUUUUCCCAGUUAGCACACACACACAUGUGUGUAAAGUGAGUGAGAGGGAGAGAGAUAGAGAGUGCGAGAAAUGGAGAGGCAGGGGUGGCCAGCCACCACCUCUGGUGGCGGAGCACAGCGGAUCUGUGGCGAAGCUUUCUAACUUCUGGUGAGUGUUGUACCCUCACCUACAGAACAGUAGACAAGGAAUCCGGUAAUCCGGCAAGAAUUACGGAAUCCGGUGAAGCUCCAGCGAGUUCUCUGGUUAUCGAUCUGGGUCUACAUGUCAUUAAACCUUAAAUAUUGGUGGAUGACCCGUAUCAUGACAGGUGGACUUAAAUCCAGAAAUCAGCGUGGGUACAAGGGACGGAUGGCGACGACAACUGCUGGAACUAGGGUUCCGGCAUCCAUCUGUAUCCCUGUCAGUUCAAUUUGCCUUUCCAUUUCAUACAAAUUGAAACAAUUUUGUUAAACAUCAAUUCUAACUUUGCAUUAGUUAGAUGUUCCCAACAGAUGAUUCUGGGUGAACCAAACGAUAUGUGGCUCACUUAUAAACUAAUUGCUCCAGGUGAUACUUUCAUGGCUGAUACUUUCAUGGCUGUUAGUCUGUUACUAUAAGUUUUUUCUCUUCACAGCUUUGAAUUUCAUUAUUAUUGUCUUAUACAAAUUCAUUUAGGUCUUUACUUUAAACAACUUUUCAACUUCAGAAUUUGGAGUUUUUCUUUUCUUUUCUUUUCAUUUUUCUUGCUAAAUAAGUUUCGGUUUAUUAGUUAAUUGAGCUAGAGUAUUUUUUGAUUUGUAUUUAACUCAAAGUUCUUAGAGAAGCAGCUUCUGUAUCAAGAGAAGCAGAACGAGUGAUUUUGAAACUUGAAAACCUUAGAAUAAAAGUAAAAAAGGUUAAACCCUUAUUCAGAUUAUAAUUGAUAAAUGAACCAGAAAAUGGCCAUACUCAAAAUACCAGAAUUCACAAACCUUACAUGAUGGACAAGUAAAGCCAAGAGUAUAUUUUCCACAAGAGGUUAACUUUCUUAAUCUAUUCUUUCAUGUUCUGUCUUAUUAUAUUGUGUAUUGUUGUACAAAAUUAUCUUAUCACAUGGGUAGAGCAAUAGAAGGGGGUGUAUGAAAGGCAUAGUAUCACCUGUAACAUAAUAUUCUAUGCUUCAAGAAAUGUUGUUGUGGGUCUCUGAUUUUAAGUUUGUUAUACUUCCAUGUGGUUCAAAUGGAUUAUAUAGCUUCGAUGCAACUACCCCGUUUUCAAACACAAUGAUUUUGCCUUAAGUACUUUUACAAAUUUACUAGGGAUGGCAAUGGGUCGGGUUCAGGAGGGUAUUGGUAAUCUCAUACCCAUACCCGAUUGUAAAAUCGUGUCCCAUACCCGGCGGUAUUAGGUAUGCCCGUUAAUUUGUUAAAAGAUACCGAUUGGGAUUUCCAAAUACAUUUCCUUUUUACUAUUAUAAUUAUUUUAUAACUUUUAUAUAAAAACUAAUAUAAGUUAAAAUAUAGAUUUUAUACUGCUGCAGUUUAGCAUGCGUAGCCUUUCCCUGAAUUUGUUUGGUUACUUGAUUUUAUUCUUGCCAAAUAAGUCAGUCCACAUUUUUUUAGCCAUUUCAUAUGUCAUUUUGAUGGUUACAGGCUUAUUUUUUCUUCGCGGAUUGUGGUUGCUCAGUGCCAACACUAAUGGUAUAUAAGAGCAUUUGUGAAGCGGAUCACCCUAAUUACCUUUGGUAAGAUAUUGUAUCCACGUCUUCAACAAUAUAAGGCCUCAUUUGUGUUUUAUGAAAUUUGGCACUCAUUUUUCUUUCUUAUUAGCUUAACUUUUCCUUACCCCUUUUCCGUUACAUUUUUUUUUGAAAAGAUUGAGCUUUUCGGGUUUUUCUUAUGUGUGUUCCGAAGAAACCUCAGUAGCAAUAUGUAUAUGUUUAUAGUUAUUCUCAAUAAUGUAAAAAUUGGGAUCACAUAAACCCUUACUGUUCGUGUUUUGGUGACUAUAUUUAGAUGGUUUUUUUUUUCUCAUGAAUGCAUAUAAUAGUCAUAAAUACAACAAUAGAAUAAUUAAGUAUGUUUAUCGAUUUGUUGGAACAGUUUGAUUUAAUGGGGUUUGAGUGGAAAUUAGUAUGCUUAUAGAUUGUUUUGAUUUGUUAUAUUUCCUUUUUAGAUGGCUAUUUAUCAUCAUGUGGCUUUCAGAGUUUGAGGAUUUCAUUGCAUUUAAAGACGUAUAUAUAUAUGCUAUUGGUUCUCUUAUUUUGUUUUUAGAUUGAGUAUUACAUAUAGGAAAGGGUUAAGUGUAUUUUUUUGUCUAUCUCAUUUUAGAUUGAAUAGGUUAGACGAAAGUGGCUAUUUUAAUGGCUAUAUUUAUGUUGUAUACUACUGUAUAGUCUCUAUGUAUAAGUCCUCAAGCUUUUGAUACAAUCGUUUGAUGCAACAA